GUAGUCCACGCUGUAAACGGUGAGUGCUCGUCGUCGUGGGUAUUGACCCCUGCGGUGACCAAGUUAACACAUGAAGCACUCCGCCUGGGAAGUACGGUCGCAAGACUAAAACUCAAAGAAAUUGACGGGGGCCCGCACAAGCGGUGGAGCAUGUUGUUUAAUUCGAAGCAACGCGCAGAACCUUACCUGGAUUUGACAUCUCCGGAAUCUCCCUGAAAGGGGAGAGUGCCUUCGGGAACCGGAAGACAGGUGCUGCAUGGCUGUCGUCAGCUCGUGUCGUGAGGUGUUGGGUUAAGUCCCGCAACGAGCGCAACCCCUAUCGUUAGUUGCUAGCAGUUCGGCUGAGCACUCUAGCGAGACUGCCGGUGUUAAACCGGA
rnacentral:rRNA from 1 species